rfam:Synechococcus sp. RS9916 scf_1100013018508 genomic scaffold, whole genome shotgun sequence.
CAACGUUCACCUCCCUUUGCCGGGAGGCGCAGUUCGAUUCAGGCCAUGGAACGGGGACCUGAA